GCCCGCGUAGCCCAACUGGCAGAGGCGUCCGGCUUAGACCCGGAUCAGUGUAAGUUCGAAUCUUGCCGCGGGUACCA
rnacentral:tRNA from 1 species